UACGGGGGGGGCAAGCGUUGUUCGGAAUUACUGGGCGUAAAGGGCUCGUAGGCGGCCAACUAAGUCAUACGUGAAAUCCCUCAGCUUAACUGGGGAACUGCGUGUGAUACUGGAUGGCUUGGAUUUGGGAGAGGGAUGCGGAAUUCCAGGUGUAGCGGUGAAAUGCGUAGAUAUCUGGAGGAACACCGGUGGCGAAGGCGACUUCCUGGCCUGUUCUUGACGCUGAGGCGCGAAAGCUAGGGUAGCAAACGGG
rnacentral:rRNA from 1 species